rnacentral:tRNA from 1 species
GGAAGGCAGCCGGAUACGGUUCGCCGGGCCUCACUGCUAAUGAGUGCCUCCACCAGGAGAUGCGGGUUCGACUCCCGCGCCUUCCG